rfam:Felis catus isolate Cinnamon breed Abyssinian chromosome D2, whole genome shotgun sequence.
GCCUGGGUGGCUCAGUCGGUUGAGCGUCCGACUUCAGCUCAGGUCACGAUCUCGCGGUCCGUGGGUUCGAGCCCCGCGUCAGGCU